rnacentral:lncRNA from 1 species
ACCAGAAAAAUGAGGUUACAAGAAGGAGGAGGUGGCGGGGUCUCCGAGAGUGCGUUGAGAAAGAUCGUGCAUAAGAGCAACCGCUGCGGGGUCAGACUGGAUGGGACCGAGGCGAAGAAGUUCGCUGAGUUCGUGAGCUUAUGAGCGCUUGGAUGGGCUAGUGGCCUAUGUCGUGGACACCUUUUGGCUUUUUUUUUUGGGAGUUGUGUCUACGCUGUUGUGAUGUUGGGAGUCGUGUCUAAGUUGUUGUGAUGUUUAGUAUCUGUAGCUGGAAUGUUAGAGGGCUUA